GGUCUGAGAGGACGAACAGUCACACUGGAACUGAGACACGGUCCAGACUCCUACGGGAGGCAGCAGUGAGGAAUAUUGCACAAUGGGAGGAAUCCUGAUGCAGCGACGCCGCGUGCGGGAUGAAGGGGCUUAGCCUCGUAAACCGCUGUCGGAGGGGACGAAUGGUACAUUUGAUGUACUGAGACGGUACCCUCAAAGGAAGGAUCGGCUAACUACGUGCCAGCAGCCGCGGUAAUACGUAGGAUCCGAGCGUUGUCCGGAAUUACUGGGUGUAAAGGGUGCGUAGGCGGACUUGUGCGUCAGAGGUGAAAUCCACGGGCUUAACCCGUGGGGUGCCUUUGAUACGGCAAGUCUUGAGUGCGAGAGAGGUGGGUGGAAUUCCUGGUGUAGCAGUGAAAUAGCGUAGAUAUCAGGAGGAACACCGAUGGCGAAGGCAGCCACCGGCUCGCAACUGACGCUGAGGCACGAAAGCGUGGGAGUCAAACAGGAUUAGAUA
rnacentral:rRNA from 1 species